rnacentral:misc_RNA from 1 species
GAUGAAGAACGCAGCGAAAUGCGAUAAGUAAUGUGAAUUGCAGAAUUCAGUGAAUCAUCGAAUUUUUGAACGCACAUUGCGCCCUCUGGUAUUCCGGGGGGCAUGCCUGUUCGAGCGUCAUUAUAACCACUCAAGCUCUCGCUUGGUAUUGGGGUUCGCGGUUUCGCGGCCCCUAAAAUCAGUGGCGGUGCCUGUCGGCUCUACGCGUAGUAAUACUUCUCGCGAUUGAGUUCGAUAGGUCUACUUGCCAGUAACCCCCAAUUUUUACAGGUUGACCUCGGAUCAGGUAGGGAUACCCGCUGAACUUAAGCAUAUCAAUAAGCGGAGGA